rnacentral:rRNA from 1 species
ACCUGGUUGAUCCUGCCAGUAGUGAUAUGCUUGUCUCAAAGACUAAGCCAUGCAUGUCUAAGUAUAAACAACUUUAUACUGUGAAACUGCAGAUGGCUCAUUAAAUCAGAAAUAAUUUAUUUGAUGGUGAAAAACUACAUGGAUA